UGCCAGCAGCCGCGGUAAGACAGAGGGUGCAAACGUUGUUCGGAAUUACUGGGCGUAAAGCGCGCGUAGGCGGCUAUGCAAGUCGGGUGUGAAAGCCCACGGCUCAACCGUGGAAGUGCAUUCGAAACUGCGUAGCUAGAGUCCUGGAGAGGAAGGUGGAAUACUUGGUGUAGAGGUGAAAUUCGUAGAUAUCAAGUGGAACACCGGUGGCGAAGGCGGCCUUCUGGACAGUGACUGACGCUGAGGUGCGAAAGCGUGGGGAGCAAACAGGAUUAGAUA
rnacentral:rRNA from 1 species